AACGAACGCUGGCGGCAGGCCUAACACAUGCAAGUCGAGCGGGGACUUCGGUCCUAGCGGCGGACGGGUGAGUAACGCGUGGGAACGUGCCCUUUGCUUCGGAAUAGCCCCUGGAAACGGGGAGUAAUACCGGAUGUGCCCUAUGGGGGAAAGAAUUUCGGCAAAGGAUCGGCCCGCGUUGGAUUAGGUAGUUGGUGGGGUAAUGGCCUACCAAGCCGACGAUCCAUAGCUGGUUUGAGAGGAUGAUCAGCCACACUGGGACUGAGACACGGCCCAGACUCCUACGGGAGGCAGCAGUGGGGAAUCUUAGACAAUGGGCGCAAGCCUGAUCUAGCCAUGCCGCGUGAGCGAUGAAGGCCUUAGGGUUGUAAAGCUCUUUCGUGGGGGGAAGAUAAUGACGGUACCCCAAGAAGAAGCCCCGGCUAACUCCGUGCCAGCAGCCGCGGUAAU
rnacentral:rRNA from 1 species